UCCCCCGUGGUGUAAUUGGCAGCACAUGAGGUUUUGGUCCUUAGUGUCCAGGUUCGAGUCCUGGCGGGGGAGCCC
rnacentral:tRNA from 1 species